rnacentral:lncRNA from 1 species
GUUUUGGUGGUCCAUGCCACUGCUUUGUGGCUGGUGGAAGAAAUAUUGUAGUGAUAACUAUGAAAAGGUGAUUUAUUUUUUUCCUCCCCCCUUACCUGGAUGUUUUUAGUUGUGCCAUAUCUUCCUGAACAGAUGACAGAUGUUUCCACAGGUGCAGCAAGUGUAAUGCACGAGGACAGGGUUUAUAACCAGGGUGUACUGGGUGGUUCUCCUGUGUGCAUGGUGACUCCUCACCUCACUGCCCUGUGCCUGCCCUUGCACUGUGGCAGUGCUGCAAUUCAGCCUGAUUCUGGUUGCAGGAGGAGCUCUGCUUGUUGCAGGUGAACUAUUCAGAGAAACAAACACCAAAUGUAGCAACUGGCAGGAAGAAAAUUUGGAGUUUUGUCCAGGCUGUUUGUUGCUGUUAUGUUUUGUAUUGUGGUCACAUCAGAGAUCCUCUUUCUGAAUUCAGGGCUUCCUGUUGCCUGGCAUUGUGCAGCCACAGACGGGUCUGAUCAUUGCCCUGAUGGUUCUGUUGGGUAGAUAGAUGAGAAAUACAAAGGCUUGAAAAAAGGGAAAGCAAUGAUUUUCAUCAUACAGAACCUGGAGCAAGAUAAACCUCUGCCAGGGCCUGAGCGGGGUACAGAAAUACAGCGUUGCUUAGGAACUGGAUUCCUCCUGGUUUCCCUUAUUUGUUUGUCCUUGAUAGCACAAAAACUGGAAAAUGUAGAGGUUAAUAUUACCAUGAUCACUGGACCUUGGAAGUUUUCCAUCUGUCUUCAUCACACCUGGCUCCUCACCUGUAACUGUGGCUCUGCUGUGGUUUUUAAUCCCUUGGGAAUAAAUAGCUGGCAGGUAAUGUCCUUUGCAGGUGUGUUCCCAACAGGUGAGUGUGUCCUGGCAGUUCAGGAAGGGCAGUCCCUGAGCUCUGUGUCCAGCUCCAAGGUGUCACUGGGCUCAGGAAGGCUGUCAGCCCCAGGACUGUGUGGGUUCCUCCUCCCUUGCUCUCCUGUCCAGCUCCAAAGCCUCCAGGUCAGACCCUGGCUCUGCCACAUCAGUGAGGUGUUCCCCUGCUGGCAGCAGCUCUGUAGUGACCUGGAUCAGUCAGGGAAGGGAACUGAGGAAAAACCACUUCACAAGAGGCAUUCCUGAAUGGGAAUCUCUUUUAGAAGGAAAAGUCAGAGAUCAGAGUAGCCAAAUGAAAACAGCAGAGGGCUCCCAGGGCUUGUGUCCAUCGUGGGAGUGUGCAGCUGGGCUGGGCACCUGGAGCUUUGAAGGCUUUGGGUGGUUUUGCCUUGGUUCAGGAGAAAACAGCCAAGCCUGUAAAAGCUGUGUGUAAGGAGCUGUGCAGGUCCCUGCUGCUCCCAGAGAGCAACAAACUGUGUGGUGGGCAGAGUGUGACAAAUGAAAAGGUUCUUGAAAUGAUGUGGAGCUAAAAAGGAAUUAAUUUCUCCAAAUGAGUAGCAGAGCAAGGGAAGAGGCAAACACUAUUAGAGAGGAUGGGGUGAGAGGGAGGAGGAGAGGAGCAGUUUCCAGGCAGCUGUGGGUAAUCCUCAGUGCGAGUGAAUGACAGACAGGUUUGGCUUUCAUGGCUGGUGGCGCUGGGCUUGCUGAGAGUGGAGAGAGAUUGCAGCUAUAUUGAAAACUUCUUUCAUAACUGAGAAAGCAAAAAUACCAGGUAAUAGUCACUGAUAUCCUUUCUUUCAUACACCCAAGUUUGGAGUAAAAACUCGUAGCAACAGCAGGAAAGACUUUUAAUACAUUGUAGGCAGGGAGAAUAUGUUCUAUCAAAGGGAUGGACUAACAGCUGUGCCAGCAGCAAAGUGCAAGAAAUGACAUUUUUAUUACUGCAGCACUGUACACAGCAUUGCUGAAUUUGGUAUAUAUGAGCAGUUUGGAAGAGAGUUAGCUGGGAUGAACUUUGGUUGGCUUAAAGGACUUGAGUAUAUUUGUGCUUUUUUCAUUAGGCCCAUCUCAGAGUAGAAAACAUUACUGCAAAAGGGUGGCUGCAAGAGGAAAUGCACUAGUGGUGGUGUAAGGGUUAGGGGAAUUCUGUAAUUUUAACAUU